rnacentral:misc_RNA from 1 species
AACCAUUCUCACCUGCGGCUAGACCUGCGGAGGGAUCAUUACCGAGUGUGAACCCCCCCGUAAAAAAGAGGGGUUACCUCCCGUCCUUUGCUGGGAACCCCUUUCCAACUUGGAAGGAGGUUGUUUUCAGACCCUUCUGCUUCGGUGGGGUAACCCACCGGAACAACCUCAAAAAUAUUCUCAAUUCAAAACCGUUCAGUCCGAGAACUUUUUUGAAAAGCGAAAAAACUUUCAACAAUG